CAGCAGACAGUUAUCCCUUUCUGGUCUGGCUCGAUAGACUCCAGAGGGAGUCCGUCUUCAGCGGUAAAUGGUGAGCUCUUUCCAGCAUCAGUGUUUGGAAGGUGGCUUUAGAUCUGCCAGAGACCA